rnacentral:rRNA from 1 species
GUGCCAGCAGCCGCGGUAAUACGAAGGGGGCAAGCGUUGUUCGGAAUUACUGGGCGUAAAGGGCGCGUAGGCGGCUUACCAAGUCAGGCGUGAAAUUCCCGGGCUCAACCUGGGGGCUGCGCUUGAUACUGGUGAGCUUGAAUGCGGGAGAGGAUAGUGGAAUUCCCAGUGUAGAGGUGAAAUUCGUAGAUAUUGGGAAGAACACCGGUGGCGAAGGCGGCUAUCUGGCCCGUAAUUGACGCUGAGGCGCGAAAGCGUGGGGAGCAAACAGGAUUAGAUACCCUGGUAGUCC